GCCUCAGCUCCCACACUGACAGAUAAGGAUGGCAGAGCCAAUUCUGUUCAGAGUAAGUAGACCCUUUCAUCAGAAUCUCUCCCUUCCUAAUUGUACCAAACCCUUGCAUUUCAGAAUCAAAAAGACAAUUAACCUGUUUCUAGAAAUAACCGCGCCCUCUCCUUCCUCUCCUCUGACCCCUUAGUUACACUAAGAACCAACAGAUGCCUUGAAAGUACGGGUUUUUCUUAAGAACUUCAUAGGACCCCUUGCCAGCUGUCAAGCGAAACUCCACACUGAAGAACCUUUGCUUUGUUCCUCCUCAAGUAUGUCUCUUCUGGCCAGAGAGCAAGCCCCUCUCCGCACCAGGCCUAGCUGCUGUGUCAUCAGAGCGCUGGGCAACAGCAAGCAAGGAAGUGCUUUACCCGGUAAGGAGAGCGCCAGAAGGCAGAAGCCCUCUGUUCUGUGGGUAAACUCCCAGCGGAGCUCUGGCUGCUCCCUGAAGCAGGAUCGUGCUGGGCAGACUCCAGGCAGCUCUGCUAAGGCUAAAACAGGGGACGAAGACUUCAACCGCUACCCACCCAGGGGAGAUGGAGUUUGCAGCAAGAGGCCAGACUCAAUUAUCAAUCACAAUGAUAACUUUAACAUAGAUAAAUCAAUAAAACAAUGAGACAUUCUGAAUGCUGGGGCCUGGCUUAUCCACGUCAGAGGUGAAGAGAGAUCCCCAAACAUCAGGAUAUGGAAGAAUUUCCUGUUUAUUCUCCUUGGGGAAGCGCCUCAUUGUCCAGGGGUUGGGGUCUGAACAUCAGCAUUGGGAGCGCAGAGCAGAGGAGGGGAGGAAGGGCCCCACACUCAGACCCUCACAUUCCACUGUGUUACCUCCACCACCUCCAAAGCCCAAAGCCUCUGUGUCCUAGCCUGGCCUCUCCAGGCUCAAGUUCUAGAGAGGCGAGGAGUGAAGGAGGGGCCGCUCCAGUUGUCUCUGCAGGGGCUGGGGAGGGACUGGGGGUAGAGCCCUAGGGGCACUUCCAAGCAGCCUCGGAGGGCAUCAUCUCCCUUUUCCUCACGGCCCUCCUCUGUGGGCACUGAAGCUGGAGCGUCCCUCUCCCGUAAGUUCAGAGCGGAGAAGGCCCCUCCUCCAGGAAUGCAUUGACCUCUUUCUUGCUUUCCCAUAUCCCCUCGUGGCUUCAUGACAUUUUAUUCCUUGGAAGUCACCUUACGGAGGCCUCGGGAGGAACGAGGACGCACUGCGUGGGCUCCAUGGCCAUGCUUACCCAGAAGGGACUAUGAUUUCGGAAGGCGCCUGACACCUGGGCACAGCUCACCCAUGGCAUCAGGCAGCACAGCAGCAGACAGGCACAGAGGCCAGGGCUGAGAAGCCUAGCCAGGCACUGGCCUGGAACAGCAGGCAUGGAGGAAGAGAGGUUGAAGGGGCUGUUCUAUUUCCGUUUGGAGAGGAUAGCAACAAGGACUAGGGUUUUCCACUCUAAAGCGUCUGAUUUGGAGAAAGAAAAUGCAGUCUGGUUCUCUGGCAGGUCAUCAACAGCAAAAACCAGGCGUGCCUACCAGGUGAACCUGCCCUCCUUUCCCGCUUCUCUGUGAUUUAUGCUGUGGGCUCUCUCAGGUGACAGCCGCCCCGCUGUUCUCCCAAGCGGAGUUUCUGGCUGCUU
ensembl:lncRNA